AUUUAUUUAGUACAAUUCAGUACUAUUGAUUUCCAAUCAAAAAGUCUAAAUAAUUUAGAAUAAAUA
rnacentral:tRNA from 1 species